rnacentral:rRNA from 1 species
GAAAAAAAGCGGUCUAUCAUGCAAGUCGAGCGGACCGACGGGAGCUUGCUCCCUUAGGUCAGCGGCGGACGGGUGAGUAACACGUGGGUAACCUGCCUGUAAGACUGGGAUAACUCCGGGAAACCGGGGCUAAUACCGGAUGCUUGAUUGAACCGCAUGGUUCAAUCAUAAAAGGUGGCUUUUAGCUACCACUUACAGAUGGACCCGCGGCGCAUUAGCUAGUUGGUGAGGUAACGGCUCACCAAGGCGACGAUGCGUAGCCGACCUGAGAGGGUGAUCGGCCACACUGGGACUGAAACACGGCCCAGACUCCUACGGGAGGCAGCAGUAGGGAAUCUUCCGCAAUGGACGAAAGUCUGACGGAACAACGCCGCGUGAGUGAUGAAGGUUUUCGGAUCGUAAAACUCUGUUGUUAGGGAAAAACAAGGAACCCGAAA